rnacentral:lncRNA from 1 species
CCCGUCCGGCCACCUCCGGCCACCGCCCAGCCCCGCCGGACCUCCCCAGUGUCCCCCUUGCUCUCCGCCGGCCUCCCCUCGCUGUUUUGGCCGCCGGAUCUGCUUUGGCCAGCCAAGGGCAGAAACCCACGAGUGGGUUUCCAGCCCCUUCGAGCCCGCUUUUGGGCCGUUUCCGGGCCCCGGAUCCAUGAAUCGCUUUGGGAAGUUUCGUUCCUCGCGUCGUCGCCGUCGGAUUGAUCCGAUUUGUGCGCGAUUUGGUGAGUAAUCUCACUAAUCCUGGAUUAGUUGGCUAAUUAUGCUUAAGGUUGCUUUAGUUUUAAUUAAUUAUGUUUAGGUUGUUAGAUUAGAAUAAAUUAGCAAUUAUUAGUCAAUUGUGAUGCGAUUUAGAUAAAUUGAUUGCGCAAUUAGCAAGUAGACGUGGUCUAGUAAUUAUUGGAAGUGCCUUGGGAUUUUUCCCGACCCAAAUCGGGCUUCAAUUUGAUAAGUCGGGCCUAAGUGGAAUUUUUGGCAUUUAAAUAUUAAUUUUCGAAAUUAAUUAAUUAUUUAUUUAUUUUCCGAAAAUUCAACAGUGAUGGCCAGUGACCGGAAUAUUAUGCUGAUGACCGUGGCAAAGUCCGUUUGUUUAAUCGGGCUUUAUUUUAAGUUAAAUUGAAUUUCUUGUAUUUAAAUAUUAUUUUUCGAAAUUAAUUAUUUAAUUAUUUAUUUUUCGGAAAUUCGACUUGGAUGGCUAGUGGCCAGAUUUUUAUGCUGACGAUCGUGGUGUAGCCCGUUUAUUUAAUUGGGCUUUAAUUUGAGCUAAAUUGGAUUUAUUGUAAUUAAUUAUUAAUUUUCGAAAUUAAUUAAUUAUUUAUUUAUUUUUCGGAAAUUAAAGUUGGGUUAGUCGACGACCGAAAUUUCGUGGCGACCGUCGUGGUGAAGUCCGUUUAUUUAAUGGAGCUUUAUUUUGUGUUGAAUUGAAUUAUUUGUGAAGGUUGGGAAUUAUUCUUUAAUUGGAAAAUCGUUGGUUAUUAAUUGAAAAAUAACCAGGCAUCAUUUGAUAAUGCCAAAUCUAUUUGAGCGGACUACAGAAAAUGUGAGAGUUAUGGAAAGGAAAAUAUUAUAUUUUGGCUAAGGCCAGCCGUGUGCUCACGCACGAUAUUUUAUCGGGUAUUUUUAAUACAAAAACUUAGGCCACGACAUUAUUUGAAUUGAGGAAUUUAAAUGUGCGGCACAAUGUCAUUGGGCCGUGAGGGAUUAAUCGUGCGUUGGCUUAUAGUUGAAGCAAGAUGAUUAUUGGAAAUUGAUGUGAUGUGUGUUGUGUUGAGAGAAACCAAUGGAUCAUGAGCAGGUAAAGGACUAAGUACUACACAAGUAGAAGACUUCGUGUGAGUUACCUCUAGCGUCUUAUACCAUUGCUUAUUGUAGUCAAGGACUAAGUAUUACAUGGCGACCUGAGUCGCAUGGGAAUUACCUCUAGCGCCUUGCAGUAUUGUAAUGCAUAGUGAAUGGCUAAGUGCUACGUCUCGUGUGAGUUACCUCUAGCGCCUUAUACUAUUGCCUUUGUAGUGAAGGACUAAGUAUUGCACGAUAGCAAGACUUCGUGUGAGUUACCUCUAGCACCUUAUACUACUGUUAUUUGUGGUCAAGGACUAAGUGCCGCGCGAUGGCGAGACUUCGUGCUGGGGUCACCUCUAGCGCCUUGAGCCUAUAUUUGAGUGGGAAUGUUGAAUGGGAAUGUUGAGAUUAAUUAUCAAGUAUAGAUGAAAUCAUCGUUAUGGUUUGAUUUGUUUGUCCUGGAUUGACUGAUUGAAUUAAAUUGGCCGGGAAGGGUCAUUGUUGACAUGUAAUCGACAAGGUCGAUUGAUUAUUGUUUUGAUUUGAUGUUGUGAAUUGAUUGACCGAAUGGAAAUGACCGUGAGUGGUCUUGUUGACAUGUAAUCGACUAGGUCGAUUUGAUCGAUGCUUCGAUCAGCGAUAUGAUUGCUUGGGUGCCUAUUAUGAAUUGUACUGACUUGCAGGUGGGAUAUGAGGCCAAGGUACGUCUUCUGCCCUGUGCGUGUUUAGGCAGCCUUUAGUAUAAUGGUUUAUCUAAUCGGGUUUAGUGGGGUAGAACUCGCUGAGACGUAGUCUCAUCCCAGUUUGGGGAAAACCAUUUCAGGACCCCGCUGAAGAGCUGAGAAGGAGGAAUCCGAGAAGGAGGACUCGGAGGCGAAUCUUAAGGAGAAAGAUUUUUGGAGGAAGAAGGCAAUCCUGAGAGGGGCCUUGAGUACGGCCCAGUUUGUCUAAGUUUCUGUCUUCUUUUGAAAUCUCCAUUUUGAUGUGAAUAGUUUUGAAGUGGUUUGUGUUUUGUAUAAAAGUUUGGUUAUAAAUUUCAAUAUGAAAAAUAUGGCCCUGCUUUUCUAUCC